rnacentral:lncRNA from 1 species
GUUCAGCGACCGUGAUUCUGUUCAGCGACCAUGAUGUUGAGCCCCUAAUUGAGAGUCUGUUACCACUAUUAAUAGCUACUCUGUUCGGGCCCUACACAUAACGGUGUAUCUAAACCUCUCUACAAUUUUAUGGACAGAGUCUUGCUGUGUCGCCCAAGCUAGAGUGCAGUGGUGUCAUCUGGGCUCAUUGCAACCUCCGCUUCCUGGAUUCAAGCAAUUCUCAUGCCACAGCCUCCCAAGUAGCUGGGACUACAGGUGCGCACCACCAUGCCUGACUAAUUUUUGUAUUUUUAGUAGAGACAGGGUUUCACCAUGCUGGCCAGGCUGGUCUCGAACUCCUGACCUCAAGUGAUCCACCUGCCUCAGCCUCCGAAAGUGCUGGGAUUGCAGGUGUGAGCCACCAUGUCCGCCCAUUGAAAAGCUCUUUAAAUAUUG